rnacentral:rRNA from 1 species
UACGUAGGUGUCGAGCGUUGUCCGGAUUAUUGGGCGUAAGGCGCCCGCAGGCGGCUUGGCAAGUUCGAGGUGAAAUCUCCCGGCUCAACUGGGAGGGUGCCUCGGAAACUGCCAGGCUUGAGGCAGGGAGAGGGAUGUGGAAUUCCCGGUGUAGUGGUGAAAUGCGUAGAUAUCGGGAGGAACACCAGUGGCGAAGGCGGCAUCCUGGCCCUGUCCUGACGCUCAG